GAGCUCAAUCUUUAGAGCGUGAGACCUUUAAUCUCAGGGUCGUUGGUUCAAGCCCCACAUUGGGCA